rnacentral:tRNA from 1 species
AUCGUAGUGGACAAAUUGGUAAAGUCACUACCCUUUCAAGGUAGAUCUCUGGGGGUUCAAGUCCCCUCUACGAUGCCA